rnacentral:lncRNA from 1 species
CUUUAAGCACCCUGACGUGCCAGAGGCAGACCUUGGUGCCCAUGGGCAGGAACUCAGACACAGUGCUUGGCAGAGCCUGUUGUGAUUUGUGGGCAUCUGGUGGAAGUGGGGGUCGGAGCCUGAAUCUGUGGGUCUUCAAGGGCUAGCGUUUUUGGAAUCAAUAAGAAAGGGACCAUGGCUGGAGAUGUCUCAGUCUUCGUGGAUCAGGAAUUAUAGUCCUAGAUCCUCAAAUCCUUAGAAAGGAAGUGGCAGGGAUUUGAUUCCUAGGUCCUGAGGGGAGAGUGUUGGGAGGGGGUUGCUGAGAAGACAGUAGAGACU